UACGUAGGGUGCGAGCGUUAAUCGGAAUUACUGGGCGUAAAGCGUGCGCAGGCGGUUUUGCAAGCCGGAUGUGAAAUCCCCGGGCUUAACCUGGGAAUGGCAUUUGGGACUGCAAGGCUGGAGUGCGGCAGAGGAGACUGGAAUUCCUGGUGUAGCAGUGAAAUGCGUAGAUAUCAGGAGGAACACCGGUGGCGAAGGCGGGUCUCUGGGCAUGUCCUGACGCUGAGGAGCGAAAGUGUGGGGAGCGAACAGG
rnacentral:rRNA from 1 species